rnacentral:snRNA from 1 species
AGAUGUGAGAGUGAUCUGGCUGUGACAUCUGCCACUCCACUGAUCACCAAGGUUGAUCUGGCUAACCUGGCUAGGGGGGUCCCCUUCCUCCCUCAAUGCUCCAUAUAUGUCAAUCCUGAUCAAAGAGGAUCACCACCCCCAAUAGAAGUGGACUGUUUCCUUGGUCAAGGAUAUAUGAGCAGUUGCUCUCCCUUGAGAGAACCUCCAGAAAAGCUCUCCAAAAAAUUAUAAUAGAAUUAAAAUGAANNNNNNNNNNNN